GCCCAGACUCCUACGGGAGGCAGCAGUGGGGGAUAUUGCACAAUGGGGGGAACCCUGAUGCAGCGACGCCGCGUGGGUGAAGGAGUAUUUCGGUAUGUAAAGCCCUAUCGGCAGGGAAGAAGCAAGACGGUACCUGACUAAGAAGCCCCGGCUAACUACGUGCCAGCAGCCGCGGUAAUACGUAGGGGGCGAGCGUUAUCCGGAUUCACUGGGUGUAAAGGGAGCGUAGACGGCCAAGCAAGCCAGAUGUGAAAGCCCGGGGCUCAACCCCGGGACUGCAUUUGGAACUGUGCUGCUAGAGUGUCGGAGAGGCAGGCGGAAUUCCUAGUGUAGCGGUGAAAUGCGUAGAUAUUAGGAGGAACACCAGUGGCGAAGGCGGCCUGCUGGACGAUGACUGACGUUGAGGCUCGAAAGCGUGGGGAGCAAACAGGAUUAGAUACCCGGGUA
rnacentral:rRNA from 1 species